AUCCAGCUAACGAGUCCCAAAUAGGACGAAACGCGACUCCCGGAU
rfam:Schistosoma mattheei strain Denwood, Zambia genome assembly, scaffold: SMTD_scaffold0001438